rnacentral:lncRNA from 1 species
AUGGGGAGCCCUCUCAGCCCAGAAGUAGCAAAUUUCUAUAUGGAAUACUUUGAAAAACAGGCCCUAGAAACAGCACCAAAAAAGCCAACUGUUUGGUUCAGAUAUGUAGAUGACACCUUCAAAAUUUGGAGCCAUGGAGAGGAAGAACUCUGCAAGUUCCUGGACCAUCUUAACAGCAUCCACCCAAACAUACAAUUCACCAUGGAAAAAGAAAAGGAAGGAAAACUGCCAUUUCUAGAUGUUCUGGUCAUCCGCAAACCCAAUCAACAAUUGGGCCACACAGUUUACAGAAAACCCACACACACAGAAAGAUACCUUCAUAAAAACUCCAAACAUCACCCAAGUCAAAAAAGGAGCACAAUCAAAGCCCUGACAGACCGUGCACAAAGAAUCUGCGAACCUCACCUCCUCCAAGGUGAACUAAACCACCUAAACUGGGCUCUACAGGCCAAUGGAUACUCCACCACAGACAUAAGAAGAGCUGCAAGGCCAAGAACAAGCCAUGAGAGUCAAGACAAAGAUCCACCCAGAGGAAAGGUGUUCUUACCAUACAUCAAGGGAACCACUGACCGCAUAGGCAAACUGAUGAAGAAGCACAACCUACAAACUAUCUACAGACCCACAAAGAAAAUCCAACAAAUGCUACGGUCAGCGAAAGACAAGAGGGAUCCUCUCUCCUCUGCAGGAGUCUACCGUAUACCAUGCAGCUGUGGACAAGUAUACAUAGGGACCACCAAACGCAGUGCCCAAACAAGAGUCAAAGAACAUGAAAGGCACUGCAGACUAAUUCAGCCAGAGAAAUCAGCCAUAGCAAAGCACUUGAUGAACCAGCCUGGAUACAGGAUAUUAUUUGAGGACACAGAAAUGCUGGACCAUUCCAACAACUAUCAUGUCAGACUACACAGAGAAGCCAUUGAAAUCCACAAGCAUGUGGACAACUUCAACAGAAAGGAAGAAACCAUGAAAAUGAACAAAAUCUGGCUACCAGUAUUAAAAAAACUCUAA